rnacentral:rRNA from 1 species
UUCCUACGGGACGCAGCAGUGGGGAAUAUUGGACAAUGGGCGCAAGCCUGAUCCAGCCAUGCCGCGUGAGUGAUGAAGGCCUUAGGGUUGUAAAGCUCUUUCCCCGAUGAAGAUAAUGACGGUAGUCGGAGAAGAAGCCCCGGCUAACUUCGUGCCAGCAGCCGCGGUAAUACGAAGGGGGCUAGCGUUGUUCGGAAUUACUGGGCGUAAAGCGCACGUAGGCGGAUAUUUAAGUCAGGGGUGAAAUCCCGCAGCUCAACUGCGGAACUGCCUUUGAUACUGGGUAUCUUGAGUAUGGAAGAGGU